rnacentral:lncRNA from 1 species
AGCACCCGGAAGGGUCCUCCAAGCAGCCGAUCCCCUCCUCCAGGUCAGCUUGGGUUUUCCACAGAGCCAGGGGCCGGGGUCCCCACGUGUGUGUCCUUAUGGAUAGGAGAGGGCUUGGGUGACCUCAGGACCCCUGACAGCAUCCUGACUUCCCUCAUUGCUGCCCACCCAUUCCAGCAUCGGGGGUCAUGAGAGAGGCCAGGCCAGACUCACCCAACCCUGCCAUGGAGGCCGAAGCAGGCACCUUUGGGCAAAGAAGGUUUGAGGGAAGAGAAACCCUUCAGGCCGGGCUCCCUGAGCUGCCUUUGAGAGGAGAGGCCCCCAGGCUGCUGCUGAGACCAAGGAGCUACCAUUCCUGGGUGGGGGAAGUGGGGGUUCCCCAGGCUCCCAGGCCUCUAGGGCACCCUCUCCUACAUCCAGUCGAGGCAAUUUCUCAGGAAGGCCUGAGUCCAUGUGAGGAAUGGGUUCAGCUGUGCAGAGGGCGGCUGGUGAGUUGGCAGGUGACUCAGGCAGGAGCCCCCAACUCAUUUGCCCCCGCGUCCCCAGAAGGCUGCCUACUCCUGUACUGUGCCCAGCCAACCUCACCAGCCCCCGCAGCCUCCACGGCGAGCCGGGCAGAGCUGCUGGGAACUGGGCUGGAGACCAGCCGACCAGCAGACCCCCACCUUCCGGAUCUCGUGCUGCCCAAGGCCACCAUCUCUACCAGGCCCAGGUCUCCUCUCAGGGAUGAGAAGUGGGAAACCACUCUGAGGAGGAAGCUAAGUCCCCUCCUUGUCCCGAGCUAUAGACCGAACACCACAGGGCCAGGUCCCUUCCCCUCCUGUCCUAUAGACACCAACACCACAGGGCCAGGUCCCCUCCCUCCCGUCCUAUAG